AUCUACAGUCAUACCACUCUGGAUGCACCCAGUCACCGCUAAUCUCAGAAGCUAAGCAAAGUCAGCCCUGGUUAGUUACUUAAAUGGGAGAAAAUCUUUUAAUUCAGAAUAUGGUUUCAGGAGUUGGAUA
rnacentral:rRNA from 1 species